UUUGGAAGGAUCAUGUCCGAGCGUUGCUGAGAAUAAGUGAGCCCUGGGAGCCAGACUUUCAUCCUCUUUCAUUACAGGAGGAUUUUCCCUCCGCUGUAGCCCCAUAAUAAGCAUUAGUUAUGAAGGUCAAGAAGAGUUUCAGGAAGAUAGCUAUGCUAAUUGAAGACUGGCUAAAAUAAGUUAUUAAAGGUUACCAUUAUUUCUACUUAUGAAAAGUUUUCAAAGUGUGUCAAGUAAAAUAACCUUUUGUCUUUUAAAAAAUGAGAGAGUCUAGCUUACUUACUUGUUAAGGGUUUCCACUGAUGUAAAUUAUUGCCAGCCUCCCGGGUUUCAGAAAUCAGUCCCUCGCUCCUCUGUCCUAUAGUAUCUUACAAUGAGUAAGGAAAAAAAAUCUGUUUAUACAAGUUUCUUUUAUACCUCAUCUUUUAAGAUCUUUCUGCAAAUAACUUCGAGUAUAUAUUUUAGUUAAUUUGAUUAGUACAUCUACUGAAGAUGAGAAAAUAGUUUAAACAAUAAGUUGUCAGCACCUCUACAGAACUUUAAUUAAAACAGAAACAACUUGGAUUUAAUAUUUUAUUACCAAAAUAUUGUCAUAGAGAUUAUGGGACUUGAUUUGCGCAAAGAUUUUUAGGGCCACCCUUGAUAUGUACAAUAUCAUUUACUAUGAUUACCAUUAAUAUUUAUUAUAUAUUAUAUUACCAUAUAUUAACAUAAUAUAAAAUGUAUUAUUGAGACAAUAUCUUUUAAAAAUCAUACCUUAAUUGAGUGGGUUCUUUUUUCUUUGGGAAAAAAAAAGACUAUGUUUUUUAUUUAUUUGUUUGUUUGUUUGUUUGUUUAUGUGUGCUUUUGUGUGUGAGUAGAGCGGAGAGGACCUGUAGAUUUUCAGUCUUUCCUUUCACCUGUGGGCUCUGUGGACUGAGCUCACAUCCACACUGUGGGCAGGCACUUUUACUUGCUGAGUCAUCUCUCUGCCUAUCAGAUAAAAUUUGUUUUUUUUUUUCACUGUUAUAGCAGUACUAUAGGGAAUACUACUGCUCUCUGUAGUUUGUUUCUUCCUUUAAUCUUGUGCGAGGAAAUGCACACAUAUCCAUGAUGUGUGUGUAAAGUACACAAAACUUUGGAUAUAAGUUUGCAUUUUAUUUUGGUUAUGACCAGAUCUCUUUUUCUUUGCCACUGGACAGUUAAGGCUAGCUGGCAGAUCCCCAUCUCCUGGCUCUCAUGUCCUUGAAACACACAUGUAGCAUGGCGACUGCUUUUAUCCAUGCAGCCUUCUCUCCACCCAUCUGCAGUUCUUUUAUAUUAUCACUUUCUUGUUUUGUCCUAACUCAGAAACACCCUUCCCUAGUUAGGAAAUAAGUGCAAAGCAGAGUAACCGGGAACCAAGCUUAUUUUUUUAAUCUUUUGAUGCUUUGUGUUUAAGUCUUAUCCCCACCUCUUCCAAGUGCAUGGCUGAACAAGCUAGUAAUUUACAUGUGCCUCAGUUAUCCUGUCUUUGAACUAGUGGAGGACAGUCUCCCUUUGCUGGAACUAUAGAAGCAGAGUACAAAGUGCUAGAGGUAGUAGGUACAGCCAAGGCAGGUUCUUGGCCUUCAGCGCAUCAACCCUUGGCAUCAUUUUAAAUUAAUACAUUAAUAAUGAUCCAAAGGCACUGACUGGGCCGUGAUGUCUGGCUGCUUAACAGCUUGUAGAACUCUUGUAAAAACAUCUAGUUCAUCUUCCAGCACCCACAGCAACUGUGGGUACCAUCACUCACAUGCAUAUACCCCCAUACAUAAUCAAAUAAAAUAUAUUUUUCAGUGUCACUCACAAUUGUGUGCUGCCUUCAUCACCUAGUUCUCAGGUCUGCGGAGGCUCCCAUACAACACUCAACUACUAAUUUUGAAUUUUCUGAAAUCUGUUCUGGGAUUGCAGUUGACUCCAUUGCCUAGCAUUACUUAUUUCACUCCUGGGCUUUUCAUGACAGUGAGAACCUAUUCUCCCCAGUCAUCCCUUGUUUUCUCUUUACUGGGAUUUCUCAGAAAUCUUUCACCAUUAGAAUUCUCCAAGUGCACAUCAUUGUUUUGAAUUUACAGGCUUAGCUCUUUGGAUGUGUCCUUUAAUGAUGACUUCAUUCCAUAGUAAAUCAUUUGCAAUCAUAGUAAAUCAUUUGCAAUAGCCAUUGUCCAUAGUAAAUCGUUUGCAAUAGCCAUUGUACAUGUUCCUGUGUUGCUUAAUUCUUUUCCUGCUGUAGGAACACUCUCUUUUGCCAGCAAGGCAGAAUUCAAACUGGCCACCAGUUUCUGCUGUUGCCCACUGUACCUAAUGCCAAACCCAUACUUUUAAAAUAGAUUUUCAUUUAUUUUGUUUUAGUGCUUGUAACACAAACAGGAACCUCCUUGAUGUGCCAAUGAAAGCCCUCCGUCUGAUGAAUUGCUAAUUGACAUUGCUUCUAUGAAGCACACUGGAUAUUUCAUGAAGAAGAAACCUAGAGACAGUACUCAGUGGGUUAUUAGUCAUAUUUGUGUUUGCCUCAAAUUCCUUCGGAGGAGUUUCUUUAUGUUUUCCAGUUUCUCUUUUAAAAUCUUUUCCUC
rnacentral:lncRNA from 1 species